AUUGAACGCUGGCGGCAGGCCUAACACAUGCAAGUCGAGCGGAUGAAGGGAGCUUGCUCCUGGAUUCAGCGGCGGACGGGUGAGUAAUGCCUAGGAAUCUGCCUGGUAGUGGGGGAUAACGUCCGGAAACGGGCGCUAAUACCGCAUACGUCCUGAGGGAGAAAGCGGGGGAUCUUCGGACCUCGCGCUAUCAGAUGAGCCUAGGUCGGAUUAGCUAGUUGGUGGGGUAAAGGCCUACCAAGGCGACGAUCCGUAACUGGUCUGAGAGGAUGAUCAGUCACACUGGAACUGAGACACGGUCCAGACUCCUACGGGAGGCAGCAGUGGGGAAUAUUGGACAAUGGGCGAAAGCCUGAUCCAGCCAUGCCGCGUGUGUGAAGAAGGUCUUCGGAUUGUAAAGCACUUUAAGUUGGGAGGAAGGGCAGUAAGUUAAUACCUUGCUGUUUUGACGUUACCAACAGAAUAAGCACCGGCUAACUUCGUG
rnacentral:rRNA from 1 species